UAACAAGGGGAUAGCGAUUAGAUGACAAAGGGGUAGGCUAUUACAUAAUAGUUUUGUUAACAUCUAUUCGUACGAGUUACUAAUCAAACAUCUUCAAUAUUUAUUACUUACUUUCCUUUCUAUUUAACCGACUAGCAUCGCUAGUCGGUUUUAU
rnacentral:sRNA from 1 species